UGCCAGCAGCCGCGGUAAUACGAGGGGCGCAAGCGUUGUCCGGAUUUAUUGGGCUUAAAGCGUGCGUAGGCGGACAUGAAAGUCAGAAGUGAAAUCCCUGGGCUUAACCCAGGAACUGCUUUUGAAACUCCAUGUCUAGAAUCCGGUAGAGGUCAGGAGAAUUCCUAGUGUAGAGGUGAAAUUCGCAGAUAUUAGGAGGAAUACCAGUGGCGUAGGCGCCUGACUGGGCCGGUAUUGACGCUGAGGCGCGAAGGCGUGGGUAGCGAACGGGAUUAGAUA
rnacentral:rRNA from 1 species